GAGGAGCAUAGCAAUAGGUUAACCACAAUGACAAUCUGUUGGGGGAAUGCAUUCUUAGAACAGAAACAUUCUGCAGUAGAUGAGUCCAGAUAUUAGACUUCAGGAUGACCGUGGUUUUGGCUAUAACACUGCAAUUUUGUAUGUUUGAUAUGAAAGGAUUUCAUAAUAAUGGUGAUCAAGUCUCUGGCAGGGAUUGGUCGACUUGCCCUAAUGUCACAGAGGGGUAGAGCUGGCAAAGCUGUUUGUGCCUGUCAGACUCAUCGGUUUGUGCCUGUCAGUCUGAUCCUAGAGAGAGAGAAGCGGGGUGAGCAAGUGGGCCUAGGAAGGAGGGUUAAAGAAAACAGGGGCUUAGGAAAGGAAGACUGGUCAAGGAAAUGGUCUUGAAGAGUGGAAGAGGAGAAGGUCAGAGGAAGGAACCUGGGAGACAGAAUGAAAACAGAGCAGAUGUGUACGUGGAGAGGUAAGGCAGGCAGACAUUCUUGCCUCUCCACGGCGGACGGUUUGAAAUAAGCAGCUAGAUCUUGGGUUGCAAGGUUCUAAUCAUCUUCUAUAGACAGCCCAAGGGACUGAAAAAUCCUUCAGUGCCUAAAUAGCGGAUUCAACUACUUUCCCCACCCCGGGCAUUCUCUCUGGUUAAUAUUCUGCAUGAAAGUGAUGUGAAUUUUCUCCACGGCUGGGAUUUUCAUAAAGUAUCAUUUUUAGUAUAUGGGAGUGAAUGCGGGUGCAACUUUUUUUGGAGGUGCUGGAAAGGAAGAUUUUUGUUGUUGCUGAAAUCAUCUCUCCUAUAGAACUACGAAGGUACAGGUGGAUUCUUGAAUGGUAGCUGGAAAGAAGUCCUGUUUCUUACUCAAGCAAGAAGAACAAUUCAUUACGUAAAAGGUGUCUGCAGUAAAACUUUGAACUGAACCACAGUGGAACGCUGCAACAACUUGAACAGAAAAACGACGACUCUCAAAACUUGAGGCUUUGUUGUCAUGCAAAACAUUACUGAGACGGCUCAAACAGCAUGAAAACCUUGUCAAAAAUCAAUAUUUGGAUGUCUAUGUAGAAAACAAUGAUAUCACUGAUUCCAGACCAAAACCAUCCAGUAAUUCUAUUUUUGCCUUGUUUAAUUUAUGGAUUGUGAAUGAUAUUAAAUGUACAAACACUGAAAAUGGGGAGAGGGAGGGAACAACUACAGAGUAUUCUAUUCCUUUUCUCAUACUGGAGAACUCCUAUUGGAGAUUUCCUGCUAAGCAUUAUGGCAGCUGUAUUAAUUAUUUGCAAUUAAUAUGCCUUUUGAGUGUAUACAGACUUUGAUACAUGCUGGAACAGCACCUUGAAAAUGUUUAAUAAAAUUCAGUUCUAAAAAAAGAAAAUACAAGAUUACCUAUACAAACAGCAUAUGAGAAAAGCACAAGAAGACCCAUCUUUAAUUAGCAGGAAGAACAAAGAGGAAACCUAGAGUGGGGAAGAGAAAGAUUAAAUGAACACAUUUGUAUGAUAAUUUUGGAAGAUAAAUGUUUGGAUGUUUCAUCUAGAGAAAAGAAAGCAAUCAUCAUUGAUCCCCCAUGGAGGAUUGAGAUAUGUUUUUCAUUUUGUAUCACCAUAAACUUUCAAUCUGAAACUAAUUGAGCUUUUCCAAAUCACAAAUUAAAUAAGGGCUGUACUGAA